rnacentral:lncRNA from 1 species
CACGAACCGAAUAUAGAUCUCUCCUGAGAGACAUAGCCAGGGCAUGUCAAAUAUAGAGGUGAAUGCUAGCAGCAAACCACUGAACGAGAACGGGGUCCCCGUUGGAGGAAUUAGAGAAAGGAUUAAAAGAGCUGAAGGGUCCUUUGACCCCAUAAGAACAACAAUGCCAAAACAACCGGAGCUUCCAGGGACUAAACACUACCCAAAGACUAUACAUGGACAGACCCAGGGCUCCAACUGCAUAUUGGAGACUAGCCUUGUUGGGGCACCAGUGGAAGGGGAAGCCCUUUGUCCUGCCAAGGUUGGAUCCCCAGUGCAGGGGAAUGUUGGGGAGGAGAUGGUAAGGGGGGUGUAUGAGGGGAGAAACACCCUUAUGGGGGAAGGGGAGGGGGAGGAAAUAUGGGGCUUAUGUACAGGAAACCGGGAAAUGGAAUAACAUUUGAAAUGUAAAUAAAGAAAUAUAUCGCAAUUAAAAAAAUAGAAAAAA